rnacentral:rRNA from 1 species
ACUCCUGCGGGAGGCAGCAGUGGGGAAUUUUGGACAAUGGGGGCAACCCUGAUCCAGCAAUGCCGCGUGAGUGAAGAAGGCCUUCGGGUUGUAAAGCUCUUUUGUCAGGGAAGAAACGGUAGUAGCGAAUAACUAUUACUAAUGACGGUACCUGAAGAAUAAGCACCGGCUAACUACGUGCCAGCAGCCGCGGUAAUACGUAGGGUGCAAGCGUUAAUCGGAAUUACUGGGCGUAAAGCGUGCGCAGGCGGUUGUGUAAGUCAGAUGUGAAAUCCCCGGGCUCAACCUGGGAAUUGCAUUUGAGACUGCACGGCUAGAGUGUGUCAGAGGGGGGUAGAAUUCCACGUGUAGCAGUGAAAUGCGUAGAUAUGUGGAGGAAUACCGAUGGCGAAGGCAGCCCCCUGGGAUAACACUGACGCUCAUGCACGAAAGCGUGGGGAGCAAACAGGAUUAGAUACCCCGGUAGUCCCAUG